CGUAACAUUACCGGAUUUUUAUAAAGUGAUUAGUUUCAUCAAACACUUAAACAAAACUGUUUUCAAAAUAAAAUUUUGACAGUGCUGCGUCAGACGGCCGCAUUAUGAAAAGGUUUGUCGAAGUGUUUUAAGAAACUAAACUCUCAGCAUCAAUCGGAACUCCUCGGCUAGUAUCAAGAUAUGGCCUCGGAUAUAAUACGGGUCGUAAAAAAUAGUCCAUCAUGGCCGACCAAGAAGAUGUUCAAACAACCAAGAGAUAUGUUAGUCCAAAGACAGAAUGAGGAGCGAACUUUUACCACUUAUUUGUGUAGAAGAGUAUGGUACCAGGGGUGCAGCUGACUCUGAUUCCCGGCUUCUUCUAAUGAAAAAAGGCAGAUGAGGCACUGGAAUCCGAAUGUAAUCCGAAUGUAAUCAAAAAUGCCAUUGUAUGAG